UCCGGUUUAUCACCGGCAGUCUCCAUAGAGUUCUCGCCACUACGCGUUAGCAACUAUGGACAAGGGUUGCGCUCGUUGCGGGACUUAACCCAACAUCUCACGACACGAGCUGACGACAGCCAUGCAGCACCUCUGCAGCGGCCUCCGAAGAGGGGCACUCAUCUCUGAGCCUUUCCACUGCAGUUCAAACCCAGGUAAGGUUCUGCGCGUUGCUUCGAAUUAAACCACAUACUCCACCGCUUGUGCGGGCCCCCGUCAAUUCCUUUGAGUUUCAGUCUUGCGACCGUACUCCCCAGGCGGCGAACUUAACGCGUUAGCUUCGAUACUGCGUGCCAAAUUGCACCCAACAUCCAGUUCGCAUCGUUUAGGGCGUGGACUAC
rnacentral:misc_RNA from 1 species